rnacentral:rRNA from 1 species
AUGCGGCAUAUUUGUUUGUCCACAUCACGUGAUCCUCACCAUGUUCGUUUGUUAAGAGAAACAGAACACCAUGCCACUGUAAUGUUUCAAAUAUUCUAUGGUUUACUUAUUUAUUUUAGAAAAAAAAUGUAUUUCAGCAUGUUGUUUGAUGAUCACCCUUUUUUAGAUCGUUAUUAUCCUAUUUUAAAUAAAUACAUCAGAGUUGUGUUUAAAUGUGCAUUACUUUUUCUUUAUGUAACCUCUAUUCAGUUCUACUUUAAUUUGUUGCAAUGCAGGGGACAGAGUGCAUCUUGCAAGAACUUAAUCUAUUUCUUUGCACGAAGCUUCCGGCCGGAAGCCCCACUUUACAUUUUGCAAAGGAUGUGA